rnacentral:rRNA from 1 species
GACAGAGGAUGCAGGCGUUAUCCGGAAUGAUUGGGCGUAAAGCGUCUGUAGGUGGCUUUUUAAGUCCGCUGUCAAAUCCCAGGGCUUAACCCUGGCCAGGCGGUGGAGACUACUAAGCUGGAGUACGGUAGGGGCAGAGGGAAUUUCCGGUGGAGCGGUGAAAUGCGUAGAGAUCGGAAAGAACACCAACGGCGAAAGCACUCUGCUGGGCCGACACUGACACUGAGAGACGAAAGCUAGGGGAGCGAAUGGG